GCGGCAUGCCUUAUACAUGCAAGUCGAACGAGAAAGUCACUUCGGUGGCGAGUACAGUGGCGCACGGGUGAGUAACGCGUAGAUGAUCUACCCUUCAGUCUGGGACAACUCUUGGAAACGGGAGCUAAUACCGGAUAAAACCUUCGGGUUGAAAGAUUUAUCGCUGGGGGAUGAGUCUGCGUACCAUUAGCUUGUUGGUGGGGUAACGGCCUACCAAGGCGACGAUGGUUAGCGGGUCUGAGAGGACGAUCCGCCACACUGGAACUGAGACACGGUCCAGACUCCUACGGGAGGCAGCAGUAGGGAAUAUUGCGCAAUGGGGGCAACCCUGACGCAGCAAUGCCGCGUGAGUGAAGAAGGCCUUCGGGUCGUAAAGCUCUUUUAUGGGGGAAGAUGAUGACGGUACCCCAUGAAUAAGCACCGGCUAACUACGUGCCAGCAGCCGCGGUAAUACGUAGGGUGCGAGCGUUGUUCGGAAUUACUGGGCGUAAAGGGCGUGCAGGCGGAUUGGCAAGCCGGAGGUGAAAGCCCGGGGCUCAACCCCGGAGGGUCUUUCGGAACUGCCAGUCUUGAGAGGGUCAGGGGCCAGCGGAAUUCCUGGUGUAGAGGUGAAAUUCGUAGAGAUCAGGAGGAACACCGGCGGCGAAAGCGGCUGGCUGGGGCCACUCUGACGCUGAGGCGCGAAAGCGUGGGGAGCAAACAGGAUUAGAUACCCUGGUAGUCCACGCCGUAAACGAUGGGCACUAAGCGUCCGACGGGUUCGACCCUGUUGGGUGCUGCAGUUAACGCGUUAAGUGCCCCGCCUGGGGAGUACGGUCGCAAGACUAAACCAAUGAUAG
rnacentral:rRNA from 1 species